CGCUAACACGCCGGGAAAAGGGAAGAGCCGGUCCUCUCGCUCCGGCCCCGGGAGACCGCGACCCGCAGGCGUGAGGCGGCGUGAGCCGCGGCUUCAGGGUUGUCUACAUACCCCGCUGCGCGCCGUCGUUUUGUGCCUGCGGGAAAAGUUCGCGCCGUGCGCGCCUCCCGCCCGCGGCAACGGGGCAUGGCCGCAGCGGUCGCGUUCCCGGGACGGAUCUCGGCCGGGAGGAACGGCCGCAGCCUGCGGUCGCCGCUUCACUGCAGUCCCCAUUUCAGGGCUGGCUGCCACUGGGGAAGGAUAUUUUCCUGGAGAUCUCUUCUUGGGGAAGCUUUCCCUUGUAAACCUGGAAUCUUUUGAUAUGGGUAAGUAAUUUUCUUCACAGCAUCUUUCUUUUGUGCCUUUCGUGUUCAUCUGUCUAAUUGCUACUAGUAAAGAAAGCAAGGUCUUUUCUUUUGCUUUCAUGGGUGUUUAAUUAUUUGUAUCCUUUUUCUGUAUAACAGCUUCCAGUUACAGAACCCAUAUUCCUCACUGUCUAGGUGAUGUUGUAAUGUAACAAAAAAUACAAAGCAGUUUCCGCAUGAAGGUGCUGAACUUGAUUUUUUUUUUUCGCUUUCUAGAUAAGAACUCAGUUGACUACAGAAAGCUGCAGUGAUUGUACUUAAUACCUAACUCUUUUUAUACAUCCAAGUUGUAGGUUGUGUUUUUCAUGAUAAUAUUACUUAAGAAUGAUGUGGCACUUCUCUGUUUAGCCUAAACUGGGUGUUUUCUUAUUUUCUGUGCUCUGAGUAUUUACAUUUGUUUCCUUAAUAUUCUUCAUGUGUUCUAACAUGAAUGGCCGUGUUAAAGUUUCAAGGCAGCUUACAAAGGGUUUACCCAAACUUUCUGCAGUUAGUUCUAUAAUAUUUUGAGGAUAGUCAUUUGUUUUGUUAUAACAUAGCUGACACUUGAUCUCAUUUAUUAUUAAGUCAAAGGCUACUUAGACACCGAUUCCUUUAUAUUAAUGCCUUAAAUACAGAAUUGAAUUUAAGGCUGUGUUUCCUUUGUAUGCUUAAGUUGAUUUACUGGGUAACCGGAGAAAAAAGGGAAAUCCCAUUCAUUUUACAUCUCCAUUCUUUUGACUUUCAAACAUCUACUUGUCCUUAAGGCAUACUGUGACUUUAUUUCAGUUAAAGUCAUAAUGAAAUACUACCCCCCACCAAGAUGUGUUGUUUUUAUCAAUUAAGUGAUACAAAUUCACACACACAAAAAUCAUAGAGAAUGGGAGCCUAUGUAAAGGAAGGCUGUAAUCUUUGACUAUCCAUUAGUGGAGUAACAACACUAAAGGAGGAGUGAGGAAGGGGCAAAGGUAUGAGCAAGUGGAAAAGGCAAUGAGACUACCUUUGGGUAGUCACGAGCUCAGCUGUUUAAGCCUAAGUACAGAAAACUAAGUCUGUAAAUAGUAAAAAGCAUAUGCCCUGAUCUAGUCCUUACACCAGAACAUCACUACCCUGCGCAAGUAUUUGUACCUUUGAAUAGGCUUGUUGCUAGGUGGGAAGAAAGGGCUGUUAAUGCUGAUAGUGCAGAUCAGUUUGUGGUACCACUGAGUGACACUUUGUAGACACCUUGAAGAUGGGAGCAUUCUCUUCUCCUUGCUGAACAGCCCCAACUCUCUGUCUGUCCUCAUGGGGAAAGCGUUUCAUCCCUUGGAUCAUUGGACCAUUAUUAUGAGUGUAAUGAGUGAGAAGCAUGUGGACUCUGAUUGCAGUGGUACUUAAUCCCCAAACUUAUACUUAAAUCCUGUUUGUUUCCUACUCAAUUCAGUAUCUGCUGAAGCAAGAUAGCUUUUGGAUUUAGCUCACUGCAAAUUCACAUUAAGUUCUGAAAGAAAUUUCAUUAGCAAACCAUCCUUACUCUAUUCAAGAUCAGUUUUAAUCUUAAGGCUACUAAGAGCAUCAAUCUUCAUUCUUCUUUCACUAACAAUAUUGCAAACAAUGGUUUCUGGAGACUGUGAUCUCUGACCUUCAUCUGCAUUUAACAACAGCUUAACUUCCACAUUUUGUUCAGCACAGCAUUCACAAGAAAGUCUUCUAAAUCAGCCCCUGCCAGCUGCUAUUCAGUAUGUAAGACCUACUCUUAUUGUAAAAACUUUUUCCCACGUUUCACUGUUUCAGGAGUAAAAUGGAAAAAUGUAUUUAAAAAUUUUUAUUUAUUUAUUCUUCUGAUUUUUAGUGAGAAUUGAAAAUUGCAAGCCUGCUAUGCGUUCCCUUCCUAUGUCUUCCUGCGAAGUACAGGUAAAUGACAGUCAAAACACAAAA
ensembl:lncRNA